rnacentral:lncRNA from 1 species
UUAGCUUGAAUUCCAAUUCUAUACAAGCUUGUCAGGGGCAAGAAUGUAUGUGUGAAGUCUAUUAUAACUUGUAGGUAUAGUAAGUAUAUAGUACGUAUUUCAAUAGUUUUAAUUUGUUGGAUGGGAGUAUCAACAUAAAAAAAAUAGUAGGAUGGGAAUAAUUUAAGGAGUAGGAGGGGAUCUAGGCAAGGCCUACGAUAAAUGCCAUUAUUAAUUAAUAUAAAGCCCGUCGAUUAAGAUGGUACUAAUCAUGACUGAGCUUUGUCAAAUACUUUUAUCCUUAAAAAACUACAUUAAUUCUAGUUAAGAUAAGAUGAUGAAAUAAAGAAGGUACCUAGAAACACAUAGACACGCGGAUACGUACAUCUUUAUAGAGAGAGAGGCAUUAGGCAUAUACCCUACAUGUGGGAAUGAUUUGGGGACAAAGCAAGGAAAGCAUAGUGGUGCAAACAAUUCACAUGGGGGCAUAACAUGAUCCUUCACAAGAGGCCUCUCUUUUUCUUCUCUUUCACAGCUCAUGCCCCAAAUCCCACGUCCAAAAACAAUUAUGCUUAUCUUAAUUACUGUAUGUAGCUAGCUUUUAAUGAAAUGAUUAAUGAGACACGUUGCACCCCAUGCAUAACCACUACAGCAUUAUAAAUAAUCUCAUGCACAUGGCCUUUGUUCUCCUCUCUCUCAGAUAAAGAUCACGAUGACCCGUUUGGUUUAACCAAUCACUAACCCCCUCUAGUGGGGUUGUCUUAGACAAAAU